UAUGUAGGGUGCAAGCGUUAUCCGGAAUUAUUGGGCGUAAAGAGCUCGUAGGCGGUUUGUCGCGUCUGCUGUGAAAACUGGAGGCUCAACCUCCAGCCUGCAGUGGGUACGGGCAGACUAGAGUGCGGUAGGGGAGAUUGGAAUUCCUGGUGUAGCGGUGGAAUGCGCAGAUAUCAGGAGGAACACCGAUGGCGAAGGCAGAUCUCUGGGCCGUAACUGACGCUGAGGAGCGAAAGUGUGGGGAGCGAACAGG
rnacentral:rRNA from 1 species